AUGAACAAGAUGCUGGAUAAGGAAGACUUCACUAUGAUGAAGAGAGCCAUCUUUGCAACGCAGCGGCAGUCUUUCCCCCCUGUGUGCACCCACAAUAUGCUGGAUGACUCCUCAGACCCCAUCCUGACCACCAUCCGCCGAAUCGGCCUCUUCAAUAGCAGUGCCGACAGGGUGAAGGUGAUUUUCCACCCGGAGUUCCUCUCCUCCACAAGCCCCCUGCUCCCUGUGGACUAUGAGGAGUUUGUCCGUGGCUGUCACCUUGGAGUCUUCCCCUCCUACUAUGAGCCUUGGGGCUACACGCCAGCUGAGUGCACGGUUAUGGGAAUCCCCAGUAUCUCCACCAAUCUCUCCGGCUUCGGCUGCUUCAUGGAGGAACACAUCGCAGACCCCUCAGCUUACGGUCAGCGCCCAGGCCCCUGAGGAUUCUAGAAGGGGGCUUGAGAACAGUGACUCCUGGAUCCUGGGAAGGAGGAGCUUGCACCCUUAGAGACCAGGGGCACCAGGAAAUGGGGGGGCUCUCGGGCCGCUGGGAGAGGAGGGGUCCUGGUGCCACAGAGUCCUGGAGACCAUGAAGAUCU
rnacentral:sRNA from 1 species